AGGCAGGCUUUCUGGAAGGAUCUGUGGAACCUGAGAUACCAGACUUUUGUGCCGCCUACGGAUGCUCCAAUCGCCGAUGUCUCGAAACGAGAACCCGUGGGAUCACCUUUCACCUGUUUCCCAAAACCAGAGAGAGGAGGAGGACGUGGGAGGUUGCCCUAAGAAGGGACGGUUUUGUUGCUUCUGACAGGACGCUGCUCUGCAGUGAGCACUUCAGGAGUGGAGGGCAUUAGCCAAAUGUUACCACGGUUUUACAGAACUGAUCUUUGCACCACACUUUUGGUUUCCUGCGCUGUUUUACCGAUCAGCAUCAAACAUUGUUAU